UACGGGGGGGGCAAGCGUUGUUCGGAAUUACUGGGCGUAAAGGGCGCGUAGGCGGUUGGAUAAGUCAGCUGUGAAAACCACGGGCUUAACUCGUGGCCUGCAGUUGAGACUGUCUGGCUUGAGUGUGGGAGAGGAGAGUGGAAUUCCUGGUGUAGCGGUGAAAUGCGUAGAUAUCAGGAGGAACACCGGUGGCGAAGGCGGGAUCCUGGGCCAGUACUGACGCUGAGGAGCGAAAGCGUGGGGAGCAAACAGG
rnacentral:rRNA from 1 species